AGUGAACGCUGGCGGUAGGCCUAACACAUGCAAGUCGAACGGCAGCACAGUAAGAGCUUGCUCUUACGGGUGGCGAGUGGCGGACGGGUGAGGAAUACAUCGGAAUCUACUUUUUCGUGGGGGAUAACGUAGGGAAACUUACGCUAAUACCGCAUACGACCUACGGGUGAAAGCAGGGGAUCCUCGGACCUUGCGCGAUUGAAUGAGCCGAUGUCGGAUUAGCUAGUUGGCGGGGUAAAGGCCCACCAAGGCGACGAUCCGUAGCUGGUCUGAGAGGAUGAUCAGCCACACUGGAACUGAGACACGGUCCAGACUCCUACGGGAGGCAGCAGUGGGGAAUAUUGGACAAUGGGCGCAAGCCUGAUCCAGCCAUACCGCGUGGGUGAAGAAGGCCUUCGGGUUGUAAAGCCCUUUUGUUGGGAAAGAAAAGCAGCAGGUUAAUACCUCGCUGUUCUGACGGUACCCAAAGAAUAAGCACCGGCUAACUUCGUG
rnacentral:rRNA from 1 species